UGAAAAGGGGCUCCACGUUACCACAGAAUUGAAAAAUGAAAAUAGGCUAUUUUCUAUUCUGUGACGUUCCACGUAUAUUCAUAACAAAGCGAUUGGAAAAUCCUUAUAGUCUGAUAAAGAUGCAAUGAUUAUUGCUGCAUAGGAACUUGUGGUAGUAAAACUUGAGAGUCAAGACACUAUCAAAGUUUCUGUGCAGUGGCGUAACGGGAGGGUGUCAGGGUGUCCAGAGACGGGGGGCCCCCGAACUUUAGGGGCCCCCGAACUUUAGGGGCCCCCAACAAAAAUGACCUUAAAAAAUUUGAUAGCACAUUUCUGGAGAAUUGAAUUAAUUGAAUAAAAAAAACCCAUUCUCUGGAAAAGGCAAAAUCCGUCGAGAAAUUUCCCGAAGCUGCGACGGAUUAAGUACGUCGCGGCUGAGGUAAAGGACGAGAUACUAGAAUGAAUUAAUUGCAAUUUCAUUGGGUAUGUCCGGAAAAAAUUUUAGACCCCUAAAAUGGUAGAAUAUCCGAAAAUUUUUGGCGAGUGGGGGGGUGGGGGGAGGUCGCCAAAAAUAAAUUGUUCCGAGAAAAAUUUUUGGAGCCUAUUUUUAGUGGAGCAAAGGGGCCCAAAGUGGCCGAUUGACGGAGGGCCCCCAGCGGUUGCGUUACGCCACUGUUUCUAUGAUCGGAAUUUUUGCAUAGGAAAAUUCUAUAAUGUUUUCAAGUUUUUGUGAGAAAUGUUUGAGGAAGCUGGCUCAGUGUUUGAAUCAAAAUCCCGUAUAGUGUAACUUGGAAGCUAAGGGACUGUUCAUAUGGAAUGACUCGUGUGAAAAGAGUCAGUCAACGCUCUGCCGGAAGUCGUUGGUUUUCUCCGGGUGCUCCGGUUUGCUCCCACAGGGAAAGUUAACAGGGUGGGUUAGGAUAAACAAAGUAAUGAGACAAGUUGUGAGAUUUUUACGUUUGUAAUAUUGGAGAAUCCUGACCAAUAUAGUCUGACAUAAUUAAUUCUAUAUCCAGCAGCCUUUCGCGCUCGUAUUCGACUUUUCCGCUUUGCUCGUGGACAACCUUAAUUGAACAAGACGCUCUCUCGAGCGUUAAGUUGCUGGGGCUUUUUAAAUAGGCGCCUGCGUGAUUUGCAACGAGCGGUAAGAGUAUAUUCAACGAUUUGUGGGCUUGAUUUGUAAUUGUACAUAAGUUUAUUAAAUAGUGACACGUUGCGACAUAAUGUAUACAGCAAAUUUAAUUAACUAAGGGACGGACCAUUAGAAAAGUGAUGGGGGGGGGGGAUUUUCUAAGAGGCAAUAUUUUUUUUUGUACACCUAUAGAAAUUUUUUUUCUCACUUGAUGGCUGGAAAUAUAUUUUUUUAUUAAAAUUUAUAGGCCUAUCUUCCAAGAAAGGAAUUUUUUUUGCACUAUGCCUGGGAAGAUUUUUUCCCCUAAUUUUUUCCUGGGAAUAAAUUUUUUUGGGUUCCCCCCCCCAUCGGUUUUCUAAUGGUCCGUCCCUAAGGUCGUCCUUUCAAUGAAGUGGAAUCUCACAAUCAGGUCCGUUGCACAAGAGUUCAUCAUAUCGCUGAACUGAAGAAUUCCUACAGGUCAUAAAAGAGAUCCACGGAAGAAUUCCUGUUAAUACCCAUGAAGAGAGACCCUGGAAAAAUUUCAAUUUUUACAUUUGACCCCUGAGAAAAUCUCAUUCAAAAUAUCCAUUACCGGAUUACCCCCAAAGAAUUCCACACAGAAAAUAUUUGCUUAUCCCCGAGGAAUUCCAAAGCUAAAAAUUUAUCACCUCAUUCCAGCAGAAUUGAAAGCUGGAAUAGCCCAUUUUGUGCUGGCACUGUGGCACAAGUGUUCAUACUUGGGCCUUGGGCUAUAAUAACCCCUUAUUCAUAUUUGAGGAUAA